AGAUUGAACGCUGGCGGCAUGCCUUACACAUGCAAGUCGAACGGUAACAGGUCUUCGGAUGCUGACGAGUGGCGAACGGGUGAGUAAUGCAUCGGAACGUGCCCAGUAGUGGGGGAUAGCCCGGCGAAAGCCGGAUUAAUACCGCAUACGACCUGAGGGUGAAAGGGGGGGAUCGCAAGACCUCUCGCUAUUGGAGCGGCCGAUGUCAGAUUAGCUAGUUGGUGGGGUAAAGGCCUACCAAGGCAACGAUCCGUAGUUGGUCUGAGAGGACGACCAGCCACACUGGGACUGAGACACGGCCCAGACUCCUACGGGAGGCAGCAGUGGGGAAUUUUGGACAAUGGGCGCAAGCCUGAUCCAGCAAUGCCGCGUGCAGGAAGAAGGCCUUCGGGUUGUAAACUGCUUUUGUCAGGGAAGA
rnacentral:rRNA from 1 species